AUCGAACGCUGGCGGCAUGCCUAACACAUGCAAGUCGAACGAGAUCUUCGGGUCUAGUGGCGCACGGGUGCGUAACGCGUGGGAAUCUGCCCUUUGGUUCGGAAUAACAGUUGGAAACGACUGCUAAUACCGGAUGAUGACGAAAGUCCAAAGAUUUAUCGCCAGAGGAUGAGCCCGCGUAGGAUUAGCUAGUUGAUGUGGUAAAGGCGCACCAAGGCGACGAUCCUUAGCUGGUCUGAGAGGAUGAUCAGCCACACUGGGUCUGAGACACGGCCCAGACUCCUACGGGAGGCAGCAGUGGGGAAUAUUGGACAAUGGGCGAAAGCCUGAUCCAGCAAUGCCGCGUGAGUGAUGAAGGCCUUAGGGUUGUAAGGCUCUUUUACCCGGGAUGAUAAUGACAGUACCGGGAGAAUAAGCUCCGGCUAACUCCGUGCCAGCCGCCGCCGUAACAC
rnacentral:rRNA from 1 species